CUACUACAAAGUUGGCCUAAUGUAACACCUUGUGGUAACACUAUAUAAGUCAAGAUAUAAAUAGAUAUUUAGGUAGCACUUUUGUAACACUUAGAUAAUAGGUAGCACUUGUAUGUAACACAUAUGUAAUAUGAAACACUUCAAAGUAAUACUUUACAUAGAGUAACACUUUCAUGUAUUUGUAAAAAAAAAAAAAAAAACACGACCUUUGAAUUGCGUAGCGCUCUCUCUCUCUCCUCUCUUUCACUUUUCCCUCUUUUCUCCAUCCAUCUCUGCGAUCCACACUUUCCAUCUUCUUCAUCAAUGGAGAGGCUCAAAGUCUCUCUGAAAUUUUACCCCAAUUUUUAGAUCCUUACUCCUCACCAAACUCUAGCUUCUAAACAAGAACUCAACAACCAAACCUAAACCCUAGCUUCGAUUCAAUCGAACUAUCAAACCGCAAGAAAACAACCGAAAAUACGGUUGACGAGAUCAAUUAGGCGGCGAAGAAGAGACGACGAGCCAUAGAAAACGUCGUCUUCGUAUGAUGCAGCUACUGCUGCUGCCGGAAAUCCCUCCCUCUGUCCUCAAUUUUCACUCAACUGAUCCUAAUUUUCAUUCUUACUCUUCAAUUUCCACAAUAUUAGCAAAAAUAUUGUCUAAACAACAUGAUUUCUUCUAGUGAGCUCAAAUCCAUCGGAUUUUAUCGCUCUUCAACAAUGGUUAUUAAGAACACGAACAACAGGGGCUUGCAAAAGAGUGGCAUGAAGUAUGAUCUCGAUUAAUGCUUGUCACGUGGUUCUUGAACCUGAGUCUCUUCCUUUUGGAUCAAUUUCUGGACUAUCCAUUGAUCAAUUUAGAAAUUAUAAUCUUGAUAGGGUAUAUUCAAAUUCAUCUUGACUCUUAUAUCUGCAUUAUAUCAGCAAUAACAUUUGUUCAUAAUUAAGGACACAACAACCCUAUAUCCAAUACUCUUUAUCCAACCUACUAACAAAACUUGUGAAGCUAUAAAGCCAGUACUCGCAAAAAGGGAGGCAACAGAGGAAGGAGCUGAGGAGACUGUGAAUGAUCAUGGCCUAGUUCAGCACUGCUGCUACUUAUGUUGUGCUUUACUGCUAGCCUUAAGCAUUGUAACUUGUUUAUUUUUUAUAUUUUUUUUUGAUGAAAUUGUAACACUACAAGCAUUUAUUAAUAAAGAUAUCUAAGUUUAUAUAUA